UCUGCCAGAGGUUGUUGCCAUGAGCUGCAGGAUAUCACAAUGCGCUCACUCCAGAAGCAAGGUUAUUAUGGGAGAACAUGCGUCUUUCUUAACUGUAGCGUUUCAUCAGUUGCGACAACAGCCCAAGUAUUUUGCUUCACAUCAACGAGAUGCGUGCAUUUCCGAACCUUUAUCACGUCUGCACCUAGCAACACCUACAACGAUAGGACGAAGAAACGUAAACGUUUAAGGAUAGGAAGUUUGAAGCACUUAUAGUUUUGGAACAAUGGACAAAAUGCGGUUAUGAGUUAUCCAGAAUACCAACAAAUGACAUAUGGCUCUGCCUGUGCUGUAACAAGCGAAAGAGGACAAGACUUGUCUAUGAUGUAGGGAAAGCAAGUAUUUGUCUCGAGCGAUUCUCAUCUCCCAUCCUGUGCGUACAGCGGCAAGCGAAUCAGCAAUGAAGCCUCGGCUAGCCCUCGUGCUCACAGAUACUAGACCCAAUUGAAAAGGAAAAAGGUUGUGGGUUUACUCAAACAAACCUUUCAUAACGUUCUGAAUAACUGUAAAAGGCAACUUGUGUGCUGGAGGUAUCUGGUUGAAAUGAUAGAUACGCACCCCCCAAGACUCGACCCAGCUUACCGAUUAUAGUCGCUAACGCAUUACCGAUGAAAAUUGCGCAGAGAAUACUAAACAUCGCGCAGGUAACGUUGAUAUCCUAUGAUUCCUCAGUCGCACGUCUCGUCUAUCUACAAGUUCAACCACACUCUAAAUACCUAUGUACAUUCGAUGUUAGACGUUUAAAAAAUUUGUAUAUAAGACACCGUAAUUUAGUGUAUUGAGUGUAUUUCUGCAAAUAAUUGUUUUUUUUUUUUUUUUUUUUCGUCUAUUUUGUCAGCACAAACAAUGCGACAUCGGUUUGUUCGUAUGCCAAAGUGUAAGCUAUGUUUUGCAUUACGCCAACUCGAGAAUAUAACACUGCCUUACUCUCUACAAACAUUAUCUUUAACAAAAUACGAACUUUAACGACUAUGUAAUAGGGCUUACGUGUCGAAACAAUUAUGUAGCUACAAUUACUAAAUGAAUGUAAAAAAAACUUCAAGUCUAGCGGGAUGUGUGUGCAGAAAUCGAAAAACUAUAUAAAAUGCCAUACGUUUCAUCAGCCUUCUUGACACUCAAAGACAUCUGACUGUGUUGAGACAUUGAAAAGCAUAGCAUUUACAAAAAAUAUUAAUAAACAUUUCUUGACACGCUUGCCAGCAAAUCUUCUACUGACACUUAACUAAGUUCCACCUAUUUUAUCUAACUGAAUCGUAAACAAGCUAAGCUAAGACAUUAGCUCAAUGCCUCUGUUUCUUCUGUUAAAUGAAAUAAGCAAGUUCUGUGCUGUAUGCGAGUCCUUCGAGUAAAUCCAGUACCUAAAUUAGGAUCACUGGACAGCCCAAAUGAGUCCUCGAUAAACAAACUACUAAAAUAAACCCCAUUACCGAAACAGGUUUACGGAGUGACAGGUUGUCUCGAGCAUUGCGGUCGGUCAGCUAAAAGAGAGCAAUGAAUAAUCUGCAGCGCCAUAAUCGUACGCAAUUGGGCCGACGAUAGUGAUGAAAUCGAGUGACAAAACAGUUACGGCCAGUACAAGACCGGGCCUAGGUUAGAACAGCCGAACCUGCUUUGCAUAGGUUAGCUGAGAAAAUUAUAGUAUAGUUUUGGGUAACAUCGAAGGCACAUGUGCAUUGCAGACU